GGCGGCGUGGAUUAGGCAUGCAAGUCGAGCGAGAAAGUUCCUUCGGGAACUGGACAGCGGCGAAAGGGAGAGUAACGCGUAGAUAUCUACCUCGAGGCCCGGGAUAGCGGCGGGAAACUGCCGGUAAUACCAGAUAACAUCCCCGGAUCAAAGGUGUGAUUCCGCCUCGAGAUGAGUCUGCGUCCUAUUAAUGCUUGUUGGUGUGGUAAUGGCACACCAAGGCGAAGAUGGGUACCGGGUGUGAGAGCAUGGCCCGGCUCACUGGAACUGAGACACUGCCCAGACACCUACGGGUGGCUGCAGUCGAGAAUCUUCGGCAAUGGGCGAAAGCCUGACCGAGCGACGCCGCGUGCGGGAUGAAGGCCCUCGGGUUGUAAACCGCUGUCAGUAGGGAGCAAAUCUCUUGGGGUUAUCCCCUUGAGUUGAGCGAUCUUCAGAGGAAGUACGGGCUAAGUUCGUGCCAGCAGCCGCGGUAAGACGAACCGUACGAACGUUAUUCGGAAUCACUGGGCUUAAAGAGUCCGUAGGCGGCCGUGUAGGUGGGAUGUGAAAGCCCUCGUCUCAACCGAGGAAUUGCGUUCCAAACCACAUGGCUUGAGGAGGAUAGAGGUGAGCGGAACUGAUGGUGGAGCGGUGAAAUGCGUUGAUAUCAUCAGGAACACCAGAGGCGAAGGCGGCUCACUGGGUCCUUUCUGACGCUGAGGGACGAAAGCUAGGGGAGCAAACGGGAUUAGAUACCCCGGUAGUCCUAGCUGUAAACGAUGAGCACUAGAUCGAGGGGACUUCCACAUCUUCUCGGUCGUAGCGAAAGUGUUAAGUGCUCCGCCUGGGGAGUAUGGUCGCAAGGCUG
rnacentral:rRNA from 1 species